rnacentral:rRNA from 1 species
AUAUGGUCAAGCGAUGAAGCGCACACGGUGGAUGCCUAGGCAGCCAGAGGCGAUGAAAGACGUGGAAGCCUGCGAUAAGGCUCGGCGAGGUGGCAAACAACCUGCGACCCGGGCAUUUCUGAAUGGGGAAACCCACCCACGGUAACGUGGGUAUCCUGCACUGAAUACAUAGGUGUCAGGAGGCGAACCGGGGGAACUGAAACAUCUCAUUACCCCGAGGAAAAGAAAUCAACCGAGAUUCCCCUAGUAGCGGCGAGCGAACGGGGACCAGCCCUUAAGCACCAUGACUGAUAGACGAAGCGGUUGGGAAGCCGCGCGAUACAGGGUGAUAGCCCCGUAGUCGAAAUCUGAUUGGUGUGAAAUCGAGUAGGUCGGGGCACGAGAAACCUUGACUGAAGACGGGGGGACCAUCCUCCAAGGCUAAAUACUCCUGGCUGACCGAUAGUGAACCAGUACCGUGAGGGAAAGGCGAAAAGAACCCCGGAGAGGGGAGUGAAAUAGAUCCUGAAACCGUGUGCGUACAAGCAGUGGGAGCAGACUCGUUCUGUGACCGCGUACCUUUUGUAUAAUGGGUCAGCGACUUAUUUUCAGUGGCGAGCUUAACCGUAUAGGGGAGGCGUAGGGAAACCGAGUCUUAACUGGGCGACCAGUCGCUGGGAAUAGACCCGAAACCGGGCGAUCUAUCCAUGAGCAGGUUGAAGGUUGAGUAACAUCAACUGGAGGACCGAACCAGGAUCUGUUGAAAAAGAUUUGGAUGACUUGUGGAUCGGAGUGAAAGGCUAAUCAAGCCCGGAGAUAGCUGGUUCUCCUCGAAAGCUAUUUAGGUAGCGCCUCACGUAGCACCGCCGGGGGUAGAGCACUGUUUCGGCUAGGGGGUCAUCCCGACUUACCAACCCGAGGCAAACUCCGAAUACCGGUGAGUGACGCGUGGGAGACACACAGCGGGUGCUAACGUCCGUUGUGAAAAGGGAAACAACCCAGACCGUCAGCUAAGGUCCCCAAAUCCUGGUUAAGUGGGAAACGAUGUGGGAAGGCUCAGACAGCUAGGAGGUUGGCUUAGAAGCAGCCAUCCUUUAAAGAAAGCGUAAUAGCUCACUAGUCGAGUCGGCCUGCGCGGAAGAUGUAACGGGGCUCAAACCAGGU